rnacentral:rRNA from 1 species
AGUGGCGGACGGGUGAGUAACGCGUGAGAAUCUUCCUUGGGGUCGGGGACAACCACUGGAAACGGUGGCUAAUACCGGAUAAGCCGAUUGGUGAAAGAUUUAUUGCCCGAAGAGGAGCUCGCGUCUGAUUAGCUAGUUGGUGAGGUAAGAGCUCACCAAGGCAGCGAUCAGUAGCUGGUCUGAGAGGACGAUCAGCCACACUGGGACUGAGACACGGCCCAGACUCCUACGGGAGGCAGCAGUGGGGAAUUUUCCGCAAUGGGCGAAAGCCUGACGGAGCAAGACCGCGUGAGGGAGGAAGGCUCUUGGGUUGUAAACCUCUUUUCUCAGGGAAGAAGCUCUGACGGUACCUGAGGAAUCAGCCUCGGCUAACUCCGUGCCAGCAGCCGCGGUAAUACGGAGGAGGCAAGCGUUAUCCGGAAUUAUUGGGCGUAAAGCGUCCGCAGGUGGCGAUUCAAGUCUGCUGUCAAAGCACGGGGCUUAACUCCGUAAAGGCAGUGGAAACUGAAUAGCUAGAGUGCCGUAGGGGUAGAGGGAAUUCCCGGUGUAGCGGUGAAAUGCGUAGAGAUCGGGAAGAACAUCGGUGGCGAAAGCGCUCUACUGGACGGCAACUGACACUCAGGGACGAAAGCUAGGGGAGCGAAUGGGAUUAGAUACCCC